UGUACUAUUAUUUUGACUAGUAGUUUGAAGAAGGGUAGAUGAGAAAUUACAGUUAGAUGAACAUGUUAGUAAUAGCAACAGAGAGACAUUUUAAAAGAGUUUCCUCAGUGUGAAUAGAAAGUUGGAUGCUUCUAGACUAAGGAGUGAGAUAUACACAUACUUUCCUUGAGGGUCUUUUUCCAUCUUGUUCAUUCAGUGUGGUGGUUGAAACCUCGCUUGCUAGUGUCUCUCAUGGGACCUGGAGGGCCUGGAGGACCGCCGGGCUGGGGGCCUCCUCCUGGUGGACCAAUACCAGGGCCUCCUCCCGGAUUGGGUUUUUUUGGUGGUUUUUGCAAUGCCAUAUCAGCUUGCCUGAGCGUCUUGUGUUGCUGCUGGUUGUUUCAAGACUGCUUUGGUGGACCAAUGGGCCCGCCUGGACCAAUGGGACCCCCUCCUCCAUGAUCAUCAUGAUCAGCUGCUGCCUCUGAGAUUUCAUAAGCCAUCUUUCUGGAGUUAACAUCUACUUAUUAUAUGUUACAAUAACAGUUUAAUCUUGUUAUCUUCACUUUAUGUGGAGUUCAAAUGAAAAUUGAUCAUGGAAAGAAAUGUUAACCUCAUUAUUGACUACUGAUCUAUUUUCAUGUGCAAACUUAGUUGAAUGAUCUAUUGGAUUAAAUGAAUUAUCCCAAAAAUGUUAUCAA